CCACAACAACAAAAAAAACAGUCUCUGAACUUGCAUUGGGAGUUUGGUUGAAGUUGGAUGUAGUCCAGUUUUUUAUCUUAUGAUCGGACACUUGCAAGCAAGAUGGAUCAGACA